rnacentral:rRNA from 1 species
GACGAACCGUGCGAACGUUAUUCGGAAUCACUGGGCUUAAAGCGCGUGUAGGCGGCCCGGCACGUCCGUCGCUGAAAUCCCCCGGCUCAACCGGGGAAGGGGCGUGGAUACGACCGGGCUGGAGGGGGGUAGGGGGAGCCGGAACUUCCGGUGGAGCGGUGAAAUGCGUUGAGAUCGGAAGGAACGCCCGUGGCGAAAGCGGGCUCCUGGACCCCACCUGACGCUGAGACGCGAAAGCCAGGGGAGCGAACGGG